rnacentral:piRNA from 1 species
UGUGAUGGGUCUGACCUGUAACUUUAUGGAG